CCAGUUGACUGUUUCUGCGGAGCGCAGGACUCGUCUGGAGCGACGCCUAUCCCUUUGCGCCACCGUCGUCGUCUUUGUGGCCGUCGGAUUGGCUAUCGCCAUGGCCGCUCUCAUCUACCGAGGCCAGCAAAACGACCCCUCAACAGUGUUCGAUAGUGAAACUCUUGCCAUGGUCUCGCCCUCUGCCGCAGCCUUUACCGACAGCAGCGGACAGCAGUCACAAAGUUCUCGAUUUGGACAAGGCCACCAAAUCCGACGCCGAUCCUUCGGCCAAAAGCGCCAACGGCAACGUUUGCAACACUUCCGGCUGCGUCCUGGCAGCGGCCGAGAUCCUGAAAAAUAUGGACAAGACGGUGAAUCGAGGAUUUCUACUCGUUCGCUUGCGGCGAAUUCGAAACGAGGAACGUGAUUCCGGACGACCAGUCGAGCGUGACGACGUUCAGUUUGAUUAGCGACGAAGUGACGAAGCAGCUGCGGUCGCUCAUCGAGAGGCCCAUCAAAGAAACGGACGCUGAGCCGUUCAAGCUGGUCAAGAAACUCUUCCAGUCGUGUUUGAACAAUAAGACCCGGGCGAAGGAGGUGGGCCUGGCGCCGCUCAAGGAGGUCCUUGACCAGUUUGGCGGCUGGCCGGUCGUUGUUGGCGACAGCUGGAACGACAGAACUUUUGUUUUGACUGACAUGAUUUACAAGUUCCA